rnacentral:rRNA from 1 species
CAGCCGCCGCGGUAAAACGUAGGGUGCGAGCGUUGUCCGGAAUUACUGGGCGUAAAGGGUGCGUAGGCGGUUUGGCAAGUUUGGUGUGAAAUCUUCGGGCUCAACUCGAAGUCUGCAUCGAAAACUGCCGGGCUUGAGUAUGGGAGAGGUGAGUGGAAUUUCCGGUGUAGCGGUGAAAUGCGUAGAUAUCGGAAGGAACACCUGUGGCGAAAGCGGCUCACUGGACCAUAACUGACGCUGAUGCACGAAAGCUAGGGGAGCAAACAGGAUUAGAUACCCCCGUAGUCCCUGUCUCUUAUAC